CAACAGGGAUUGCCCUAGUAACGGCGAGUGAACAGGCAAGAGCUCAGAUUUGAAAGGCACUUUUGUGCCGUUGUAUUCUGAAGUUAGGGUCCUGAGAAACGAUGCUUAAGUCUUCUGGAAAGGAGCGCCAUGGAGGGUGAUAGCCCCGUCUAGCAUUGACCUCAUAUAGGAUCUUAACAUGGAGUCGAGUUGUUUGGGAAUGCAGCUCAAAUGGGUGGUAUGCUCCAUCUAAAGCUAAAUAUCUGCGAGAGACCGAUAGUAAACAAGUACUGUGAGGGAAAGAUGAAAAGAACUUUGAAAAGAGAGUGAAAAAGUACGUGAAAUUGUUGAAAUGGAAGGGUAGGCCGCUAACCAUGUAGAGCCGUGUUUGGGGGGAAGAUAAAUGCUGUAGAAUGUAGCUCCUCGGAGUAUUAUAGAUGCAGUUCAUAUUCCCACCCGAGCGCGAGGAUCUCAGGUUCUACUAAAUGGUGGUCUACCACCCGUCUUGA
rnacentral:rRNA from 1 species